GUGAUCACAGUUUUUGGGAAUCAUGAUGAGGCAUUAAAGAGGAGGAGGAGUGUCUCAAGGGAGGUGAGCUGGAGGUGAUGCAAGGAUGUCUGAUCUGAAAGCAUGUUGUGGUCCGCUACACACAAGAGCAAAAGAAGAGCAGGAAGGAACUCAGUGCCAAGACUACAGCCACAGGAAGAACAGCAGCUCUUAGGGCUGCAGCUCUAAAGACAGGCCAGGUCAUUACAGGAACGUCUGCUCCCUUAGCCUUGCCAGACAGAGGAGGGUUAAGAAAGGAACUGCCGACCCUGAUAUGCAAACUGCCACGAGUGCUUCCUGCCUUUCUGUCAGCGUCAGAUGGCUAGCGAUGGAUGGUUGUAAAGUGGAUAUAAUUAAUAUUUUAUUUUCAGGGCCACGGUGCUUCUUGGGAGCACCAAGCAAAUCAACCAACAGAUUAAAGAGUGAUGGAGAAAGCCGUGUUUUGGGCCUCAUUGGGAACAGAAUGGAAGAGUUGAGGGUGGAAGGGACCUUAGCAAGUCUUCUGAUCCAUGUUUCAACCUUCAUUUCCCCAUAACCUCAAGGAGAGAGUUGCUUUUCCUGUUCUUCAAAUGAGUUCCUUGAAUUCACACUCUAUUUCUUUGAAUUUGCACAGACUGUUGAGGAACAGGCGGCGGGGUCACCCUACCUCUGCUCAGACAAGCCUGGAAGAGAAAAAUUUUACAUAGAAGACUGGGCUGGAAGAGGCCUGGGAACUUGAGGAUUCCCACUUCCACACUGCCCACUCUAGUUCUCAAGAGGCAGCUAUGCUGCAGUGCAGACCACUGAAUUUAUAUUCAGGAAUCUGGGUUUACAUCUCACUCCUCCUCUUACUUGCAAGUCACUUACCACACACCAGGCCUCAGUUUCCUGGACAAUAAAAUGGGGAUAACGUUGUCCCAUGUGGUUGUUGGUGGUAACAAAAUUAUGCACACGAGCACGCCUUGUAAUCUAAGUUAGACCUGCACUAACCUAGAUUAGCUGACCAGGGUGGAGGGUGGGAGGGGCAGGCUUCAGUGUGUGACUUACCUAGAGGCCAAGGAGAGUCACCAUGGAUAGGGCAGUCCUUGUUAGUCCCCUGCUCUCUCAAUGUGGCUCUGAGAAUCUCCAGGAGGGAUUGGCUGGUUGAAUUCUCAACUCUACCAAGAAAGGUGUGCUGGAGACCAGGGCCAUAGAAGUCUUCUUGUUGAUGUACGAAAAUCAGGAAGCUGUCUCAGGUCCUCUUUACCAGCAUAUAUUGUAAUUAUUCAUCUCCUUCCCUGUCAGUCGGCACUGGAAAAUUUUGCUUCUUCUAAAAGGAACAAAUGUCUCUAGUUCUUGUUGCUCCAACAAGGUGUCUGGCUUGAUUCCUAAAAUAAAUGAACAAAUAAACAAAUA